rnacentral:rRNA from 1 species
UGGGGAAUUUUGGACAAUGGGCGAAAGCCUGAUGCAGCAACGCCGCGUGAGUGAUGAAGGCCUUCGGGUUGUAAAGCUCUGUCUUUUGGGACGAUAAUGACGGUACCAAAGGAGGAAGCCACGGCUAACUACGUGCCAGCAGCCGCGGUAAUACGUAGGUGGCAAGCGUUGUCCGGAUUUACUGGGCGUAAAGGAUGCGUAGGCGGAUUUUUAAGUGAGAUGUGAAAACCCUAAGCUUAACUUGGGGGACUGCAUUUCAUACUGGAAAUCUAGAGUGCGGGAGAGGAGAAUGGAAUUCCUAGUGUAGCGGUGAAAUGCGUAGAGAUUAGGAAGAACACCAGUGGCGAAGGCGAUUCUCUGGACCGUAACUGACGCUGAGGCAUGAAAGCGUGGGUAGCAAACAGGAUUAGAUACCCUGGUAGUCCACGCCGUAAACGAUGAGUACUAGGUGUAGGAGGUAUCGACCCCUUCUGUGCCGCAGUUAACACAAUAAGUACUCCGCCUGGGAAGUACGAUCGCAAGAUUAAAACUCAAAUGAAUUGACGGGGGUCAUAGCUG